AUAGCCUUCUCCGCCUUUUGGCUAAGAUCAAGUGUAGUAUCUGUUCUUAUCAGUUUAAUAUCCUCCAGAUACUUUUGAACUACACACAUCAUAUUUCUAUUUAUUUGGACCAAAA